UGUGCUCGCCCUCUUGGCGGCCAUGGCGGCGUGCUGGCUGCUCUCUUUGUCUCUUCCCUUGUUGACCUGGGACACCGCGGAUGACCCUACGUAACUCUGCUUGCUGGCAGGAAGACUCCGUCUCGCGCUGGCUAUCAAGAUGUCCCGUGCUUUCCCUGAGGGCUCUGUCGCCCUAAUAUGUGCAGCAGACUAAACGUGGGAGUUGUCUGCUGGAAGUUAAGCACUCGUGAGGACGUGUUGGGGAUCUUGGGAAAGUUGGUGGCUAAGCUCCGCUUACUCUGAACACCCAGCAGUGGCCCAGCUGAGAUCCAGAAGCGAGGAAGAAUAAGGCCUACCUCUUGGCUGUGGCUCAUCAGGACAGAUGCAGGUGUAAUUUUAAGCCAUGGGCCACGUGUGGCCUCUGACCUCACCAGUGACCUGCAGAACCACCCAUACAGACUUUGGGCAGCUCUACGCUUCUCGUCCUGGUAGCCCACAUCAUAAAUUAUAAACUGCAUUUGGCUUGCCUUUAACUGUACUUGGCAAAACUGGUGAUGUGAGGUCUGGUAGUGGCACUAGGGGUGUUGGACCCUUAAUUGUGAGCCAGCCUGAUUUACAAAGCAAGUUUGAAGGCUGUUGGAGAGAAGUCCUGUCUUGAAAACUGGGGGGAAGGGGGCUGCCUGUAGAUGCUGUGACACAAAUAAACUGGUCGGUUCUUAA